UGAAUACGAGACGCUAAGGCGUCGAAGUAGUGUAUGUCAUACUUCCAAGAAAAGCUUGCACUGUCAUAGAUAAAAAACGCCUGUACCAUAACCGACACAGGUGGGUAGGUAGAGUAUACUAAGGGGCGCGAGAUAACUCUCUCUAAGGAACUCGGCAAAAUAACUCCGUAACUUCGGGAGAAGGAGUGCCUUAUUCGUAAGGUUGCAAUAACAGGAUCCAAGCAACUGUUUAUCAAAAACACAGGUCUCCGCUAAGUCGUAAGACGAUGUAUGGGGCUGACGCCUGCCCAGUGCCAAGGUUAAAGAAGUUGGUUAGCAAUUGCGAAGCUGAUAACUGAAGCCCUGGUGAACGGCGGCCGUAACGAUAACGGUCCUAAGUUAGCGAAAUUCCUUGUCGGGUAAGUUCCGACCCGCACGAAAGGCGUAAUGAUUUGGAUACUGUCUCGGAGAGGGGCUCGGUGAAAUAGACUUGUCUGUGAACAUGCGGACUACCUGCACCAGGACAGAAAGACCCUAUGAAGCUUUACUGUAACUUGAAAUUGAAAUUGGACUUUAUUCGCGCAGUAUAGGUGGGAGGCGUUGAUUAUAAUCUUGGGAUUAUUGGAGCCAUCAGUGAGAUACCACUCUUGUAAUGUUAGAUUUCUAACUUUGAAUCAUUAUCUGGUCAAAGAACAGUUUCAGGCGGGCAGUUUGACUGGGGCGGUCGCCUCCUAAACGGUAACGGAGGCGUACAAAGGUUUCCUCUGAACGGUUAGAAAUCGUAUCUAGAGUGUAAAGGCAUAAGGAAGCUUGACUGUGAGACCUACAAGUCGAGCAGGGACGAAAGUCGGUCUUAGUGAUCUGACGGUACUGAGUGGAAAGGCCGUCACUCAACGGAUAAAAGUUACUCUAGGAUAACAGGCUGAUCUCCCCCAAGAGUUCACAUCGACGGGGAGGUUUGGCACCUCGAUGUCGGCUCAUCGCAUCCUGGGGCGGUAGUACGUCCCAAGGGUUGGGCUGUUCGCCCAUGAAAGCGGUACGCGAGCUGGGUUCAGAACGUCGUGAGACAGUUCGGUCCAUAUCCGGUGUAGGCGUUAGAAUAUUGAGAGGAGCCUUCUUUAGUACGAGAGGACCGAGAAGGACAUACCUCUGGUGUACCAGUUAUCGUGCCAACGGUAAACGCUGGGUAGCUAUGUAUGGAGUGGAUAACCGCUGAAAGCAUCUAAGUGGGAAGCCCACCUCAAGAUAAGUAUUCUCA
rnacentral:rRNA from 1 species